rnacentral:rRNA from 1 species
UACAGAGGUGGCAAGCGUUGUUCGGAAUUACUGGGCGUAAAGGGCGCGUAGGCGGCUUGGUCAGUCCCGUGUGAAAUCCCUCGGCUCAACUGAGGAACUGCACGGGAAACUGCCUGGCUUGAGUUCGGGAGAGGGAAGCGGAAUUCCGGGUGUAGCGGUGAAAUGCGUAGAUAUCCGGAGGAACACCGGUGGCGAAGGCGGCUUCCUGGACCGACACUGACGCUGAGGCGCGAAAGCGUGGGUAGCAAACAGG